AAUCAACGCUGGCGGCGUGCCUAACACAUGCAAGUCGAACGCGAAAGCCCGCAAGGGUAAGUAGAGUGGCGCACGGGUGAGUAACACGUGGACAACCUGCCUUCGAGUGGGGAAUAACCUUCCGAAAGGAGGGCUAAUACCGCAUAACACCUCGGGACACAAGUUCUGGGGUUGAAAAGAGCAAUUUGCUCGAAGAGGGGUCCGCGCCUGAUUAGCUAGUUGGUGAGGUAACGGCUCACCAAGGCUUCGAUCAGUAGCCGUCCCUGA
rnacentral:rRNA from 1 species